GAUGAACGCUGGCGGCGUGCUUAACACAUGCAAGUCGAACGAAGCUCCCGAACCUGAGAUUCGUCAAGGGGGAAGGAUGACUUAGUGGCGGACGGGUGAGUAAUGCGUGAGCAACCUGCCCUUCAGAGGGGGACAACAGUUGGAAACGACUGCUAAUACCGCAUAAUGUAUUCGGAUGGCAUCAUUUGGAUACCAAAGAUUUAUCGCUGAAGGAUGGGCUCACGUCUGAUUAGCUAGUUGGUGAGGUAAUGGCUCACCAAGGCUUCGAUCAGUAGCCGGACUGAGAGGUUGGCCGGCCACAUUGGGACUGAGAUACGGCCCAGACUCCUACGGGAGGCAGCAGUGGGGAAUAUUGGGCAAUGGGCGCAAGCCUGACCCAGCAACGCCGCGUGAAGGAAGAAGGCUUUCGGGUUGUAAACUUCUUUUGGCAGGGACGAAAAAAUGACGGUACCUGCAGAAUAAGCUCCGGCUAACUACGUGCCAGCAGCCGAC
rnacentral:rRNA from 1 species